GGGUGGGGAACCCUGGGGCCCGGGGUGGGCGUCCCUGGCCGUGACCGGAGAAGGAGGUUCCGGGAUGGGCACCCUGCUACGGCACCUCAGGCCGUUCUGUAAAAUUUGUCCAUGUGACCCGGGCCUAGAGGAGAAUGGACUGGAUUCUUAUUUCUGCUGGAAGCGCCUGGGUGGAAGCAAUGGAGAGAAUCGCUGUGGGACUUGGGUGCCCUUGACAGACUCCUGGUGUCUUAUCCCUACUUCCUUCCUGCUUCAGAAAGUAAAGAAUCAGGAGAAAGGAAAGACUAGAGAUUUGACCAAAAAGAGAAAGUGGAAGAUGUGACAACGAAAGCAAGAGGUUGUAAUGAUGCAAGGAACCAAAAACCAAGGAAUGCAGGCUGCCUGCAGAAGCUAGAAAAGGCAAGAAAGCAUUCUCCCGUGAGUCUCCAGAAAGGAUCAGUCCCUGAAGAUGCCUUGACUUAAGAUUAGUGAAACUGAUUGCAGUCUAUUGGCCUCUAGAACUGUAAGAUAAUAAAUUUGUCUUGUUUUAAAAAUAAAGGAAAAAAAACUUUUCAAUGA